GUUGUCUCGCCGUGUUGGAUCUUCAGCCCUGUCGCUAAGGGGUUUAAGCCCCGCGGACAAGAGAGAAAUAACUGGGAUGAGGGCCUGCUGUUUGCCAAGAAGCUCUUCCCGGCGUGGCGGCGCUACAACUGGUCGUGCGUCCGCUCGGUCGGCGCCCCGCUCGGAGCUUUGCUUUGGGCUUAGAAAACGCGUUGUGGCCUUGUGCGUGAGACGUGGCGUUUUCACGGUUUCCUGAUGCCUGUGAGGAAGACGGAGCCGCACACAAACGCUGGGCAAAAAGGGGAGGAUUGAUGGUGGGUAUUUCGGAAACCAGCCUUCGUGCAAGCGACGCUGCCUGCUUACAGGAUUUGAAAUGUGUUUUGUCAGUUUAUAAAGCAUCCAUUGUAGAAACAUCUGCGUCAGUCACUCCGCACACAGGAACAACAGUUAGAGUAAUCCCAGCCCGAUUGCCUGGAGUUAUUAGCCGCUCUUACAAACAACCAAAGUGGGUGGAAAUUUUAAGAGCUGAAGAAGAAUGAGAGUCUAAACAACACUGUAGAUUUUUAAUCUACAAAGUUUUUUGCAACUAGUUAAAUGCAGUGUCAUCCCCUAAUGUUUUCUGUGGCUUUGCAGAUGGCUUUUCAUGUGUUUCGACAUGUGAGGGUGCUUUUCUCAAUCUUUGCUGUGUGCAGAGCAGAUGCCAACCAAGGAGGAAAGUGACUGGUUGUGGGUCUGGGCCAGAGGCUACUGAGGUUAGUGGCAGCCUUUCCGCUGACCUCGGGUGGCUUUGACUGAGGCUGUAAAUACCAAGGGAAGCAGUGAAACACGUAAUUUUGUAUCAAAGUGCUAUCAUGUGCUCAUAAAAAUAGAAGAAAAGUACAGAAGAUGUUUCCUCCCCGCCCCCUGCAAGCUCUUGGAAUUAUAAUAAUCGCAGUUGUUGCUUGGAAAGCUCGAAUUCAUUGGGAGCAAAAGGAUACGGCUAAAAAAGUUACGGAUUUAGGUGCGUGUAUGUGGAUUCCAGAGCUUGACUCUGCUCACUCUGUUUUUUAAAUCUGCCUGUUGAUUCUCAGCGUGGUAAUCGGUCCGCGGGUCCACUUCGUCCCCCGCCCGUCUUGAUCCCCAUCCCUGGGAAAUCCCUGUGGAGACCUCCGUGGCGCGUCGCCAGCUGCGAUCCCAGGACCUGGCUCGCCAGCGGUGUGCUGAAGAGAUGCUCAGCGUGGCUGUGGAGUUUGGAAAAGCAGCCUCCGCAGCCCGAAAGAGAACAUACGAGUGGUUUUAGGGUAUGCUUAGCAGUCCAGCCUUCCCCGCUGCUUCAUAGCUUUUUACGUCAUGCCCCAACCAUGCUGAGAUUGCAGAGUAAAGAGAGGGGGAGUUCAUUCAGUGGGGAACGGCAGAGGAACCGAGAGAAAACUCCUUCUCCAGCCAGGCUUGACUUAUAAGCAGAUGCUCUGAUCAGGAGCUGGCGAUCGGGGGGACGUUAACGCUGGAAAUUGCUUUUCAGCUGGGUGAGCCGAGCAGGCCAGAGAAGUCAAGUGAAAGAAAGCGAGCCAACGCAAAGUUAAAUUAAAAAAUUCCAAAGCGCUGAUAUCAGAGAGGCUUCCCCCUGCGACCGAGCGACUGAUCAGCAGGAAGCGGUGGGAUGGGACUCAUCUGCCACAGUACUUCUGUUCAAACAAGAGCAUUAUCUGCUGCUGGGUGAGCCGAAGCCGGAGGAUCAGGAUUCAAUCUGCCUUCAAAAUAAUUUGGCACUCAGGACCCGACAGGAUUCUCCCCAGUCACUGAAUCCAGCCAGCCCAGAACCAGAGACAAGGUGGAUGAAUGUCACCUUCGGGGGAUCUGGAUCAGAACUUCUCUCAGGUGAGUGACGCUUAACCUGGAAACAGGCAGGCUCUGCAUCGCUUCCAGACCUUUGUUAAAAAAGGGGAAAAUCUCCGUUACUGGAAGAGCACAAAGGUGCGCGUGCGAGAGUGCUUACAGCAAAGAAGAGGCUGCCGGUCUCCCAUUUGAGCUAUCAGUACACCCUCGACUCUGAAUCAGCUCCCAUAUAGUGUCAGCGGCGGAGCCUGGGCCCUGGGAAGUGGCG